GGUAUACAAAUUCAAAGUGGUUGCACGCUCACAGCGUUGAGUUUGCCUCCUCCCGUUGUGAUCAUCUCCCUGUGUUAUGAACGAGAGAUGUGAGGGGACAAUUGUGUGUGAGUUGUGACCUGGUCAAUAUUUGGCAGGGAUAGAGUUCAGUUUUAGCUAUGGCCUAUGGUGGAAGCUGUUGAAAAAACAAAAACAAACCUAUCGAGAUGUGAGGCUGCUUGUUGGAGUAGUACAAGUGUAGAAUACCCACUAAUCCAGCGGCCCGGCGGUUGCAACUUGCAGUAACCAAAGGUGCCAUCUUCGUCUGGUCCAACCCACCGAAUCCGCUCUCACAAAGUCAAAGCUGCUCCGCCGUCUCAUCUGCUUCGAUCAAACAUGCCGGUUGAUGUCAACGCUCCUUGGUACCAGCACAAUUCUUAGCCCAGCUCCAUCUGUUGCCAUCGACCACGGACGCAGGAGAGGGAGAUACAUGGAGGCAUAGAGAGCGCGCGAAAGAGAGAUCUCACUGGCAACGCUGCGCUGGUCUUCGUCAGGCUCUGCGAACUUUCGGAGAACCGGACGCCGGUGAUCGCCGGAGCACGGCGAGGGUGAGAUCCGGUGGUCGUAACCUGGCGGCGUCGCCUUCCUACCGCCGCGCCGUCGAUGAGGGCCCUGUCAUUAUUUUCUUGAAGGCUAAAGGAGCACUGCCAUACACAAUG